GCCCCUUCCAGCACCCCCGGGGGAGCAGGGGGAGAUGCUGCCGGGAUGCGGGAUGCGGCGGCGGCCGGGCCGGGACCCCCCCGGGCGGGGAGAUAAGGAGGUUUAACCAACAGAUUCCCCCGGCUGAACCCCUCUGCCGGGCUGAAUUUAGCAGCAGAAGAGAUAACCAGCAGAUAAGGACUGAUACCCUGGGAGGACAGCGGGAGACGGGUAGGCGGCCGAGGAGAGGGAAGAGAAGCCGGAGGCAGCGUUGGGAAGGGCUGCCUAUCCAGAUGUGCCGGGUUCGGAACGCUCAUCUUUCCUUCCUUUGCAAAAUCCCUGACGGUUUUCUCUCCCAAAGCAGCGAUUUCCUAAAGAUUCGUUGAAUUCCUGCAGAAAAGCAGAUCUUCCCUUAAAAAAAAAAAACCUAUUUAAACUGAUUGAACCCGCCCAAGCAUCAAUACCAGGAGCAGAGAAGAUUUCAAGGACCUGUUUUGGCUUUGCUACUUCCAGGAAAAAAGGUACAAAGGCGAUUCCCGUGAAUUGUUUCGGGUGAGUGUGGCGGGGUCCAGCGUCUUUCUGCGGGGAAUUAUCGGUCGGUGGAGCCGGGAAUCGCGGGGAAGUUCAUCCCGAAAAUCGGAGAGGUGAGGAACUACACCGAGCCCAGCCCGGCGUGACCCAGCAGCCGGCACGGAGAGGGUGGAUUUAGGACAAAAUUUCUCCCGGAAAAAGCAGACGGGAUACAGCAAAUCGGUGU